CCCAUCAAAUUAUUCCCCUCAGAGCUCAGAAAACUUCACACAAGAGGAAGCAGAAGAGUGUGAGACCCAGAAGGAAUGAGGGACACCAGGAAAACAAAGCCCUUAUAGGACUGUAUGAUUGCUGAUCCAUAGCCAUGAAGUCAAGCAGUGAUGUGCUGACACCCCCAGAAAUUAAAUUCAAUCUUUGGUAAAGUCAUACAUGCAG